rnacentral:misc_RNA from 1 species
CAACCCUCAAGCUCAGCUUGGUUAUGGGAGCCACCGGCACGGUGCUCCUCAAAGUCAGUGGCGGCGCCUUCCGGCUUCAAGCGUAGUAAUCAUCCUCGCUCUGGACGUCGGGAGGCUGCUCGCCAGCAACCCUCACUUUUAUAA